UCGAGUGGCGAACGGGUGAGUAACACGUGGGUGAUCUGCCCUGCACUUUGGGAUAAGCCUGGGAAACUGGGUCUAAUACCGAAUACACCUCUUGGGUUGCAUGACUCUUGGGGGAAAGCUUUUGCGGUGUGGGAUGGGCCCGCGGCCUAUCAGCUUGUUGGUGGGGUGAUGGCCUACCAAGGCGACGACGGGUAGCCGGCCUGAGAGGGUGUCCGGCCACACUGGGACUGAGAUACGGCCCAGACUCCUACGGGAGGCAGCAGUGGGGAAUAUUGCACAAUGGGCGCAAGCCUGAUGCAGCGACGCCGCGUGGGGGAUGACGGCCUUCGGGUUGUAAACCUCUUUCAGCACAGACGAAGCGCAAGUGACGGUAUGUGCAGAAGAAGCACCGGCCAACUACGUGCCAGCAGCCGCGGUAAUACGUAGGGUGCGAGCGUUGUCCGGAAUUACUGGGCGUAAAGAGCUCGUAGGUGGUUUGUCGCGUUGUUCGUGAAAACCGGGGGCUUAACCCUCGGCGUGCGGGCGAUACGGGCAGACUGGAGUACUGCAGGGGAGACUGGAAUUCCUGGUGUAGCGGUGGAAUGCGCAGAUAUCAGGAGGAACACCGGUGGCGAAGGCGGGUCUCUGGGCAGUAACUGAC
rnacentral:rRNA from 1 species